rnacentral:rRNA from 2 species
GGUCCUUUAAGUCUGAUGUGAAAGCCUUCGGCUUAACCGAAGAAUUGCAUUGGAAACUGGAGGACUUGAGUGCAGAAGAGGAGAGUGGAACUCCAUGUGUAGCGGUGAAAUGCGUAGAUAUAUGGAAGAACACCAGUGGCGAAAGCGGCUCUCUGGUCUGUAACUGACGCUGAGGUUCGAAAGUGUGGGUAGCAAACAGGAUUAGAUACCCUGGUAGUCCACACCGUAAACGAUGAAUGCUAAGUGUUGGAGGGUUUCCGCCCUUCAGUGCUGCAGCUAACNCNAUAAGCAUUCCGCCUGGGGAGUACGACCGCAAGGUUGAAACUCAAAGGAAUUGACGGGGGCCCGCACAAGCGGUGGAGCAUGUGGUUUAAUUCGAAGCAACGCGAAGAACCUUACCAGGUCUUGACAUC